rnacentral:rRNA from 1 species
AGUGAACGCUGGCGGUAGGCCUAACACAUGCAAGUCGAACGGCAGCACAGUAAGAGCUUGCUCUUACGGGUGGCGAGUGGCGGACGGGUGAGGAAUACAUCGGAAUCUACUUUUUCGUGGGGGAUAACGUAGGGAAACUUACGCUAAUACCGCAUACGACCUACGGGUGAAAGCAGGGGAUCUUCGGACCUUGCGCGAUUGAAUGAGCCGAUGUCGGAUUAGCUAGUUGGCGGGGUAAAGGCCCACCAAGGCGACGAUCCGUAGCCGGUCUGAGAGGAUGAUCAGCCACACUGGAACUGAGACACGGUCCAGACUCCUACGGGAGGCAGCAGUGGGGAAUAUUGGACAAUGGGCGCAAGCCUGAUCCAGCCAUACCGCGUGGGUGAAGAAGGCCUUCGGGUUGUAAAGCCCUUUUGUUGGGAAAGAAGAGCAGCAGGUUAAUACCCCGCUGUUCUGACGGUACCCAAAGAAUAAGCACCGGCUAACUUCGUG